rnacentral:tRNA from 1 species
AGUGGGGUGGCUGAGAUCAAUGAGUAGGCGAUAGGCUGUAAAUCUAUUUAGGAGCAUUUACGUGGCUCUUCCACUA